rnacentral:tRNA from 1 species
GGGCUCAUGGCCUAAUGGUAAGGCGUUAGAUUUCGGUUCACCAAGAUCAUCUCUCUAAAGAUUGCAGGUUCGAUCCCUGCUGAGCUCG